rnacentral:lncRNA from 1 species
GCCUCUGACCUGUUGAACUAGCAGGUUGAACUGCUCCAUGCCGACUGCCGUUGCCAGAGGAGGAGCCUGAAAAAUUGGAGAUGAGGCCGGAGCUUGUGGGUCUCGCUGAGAUCUGGCCGUGGAGGUCGUGGAUCGCCUGGUGGAUGUCUUUUGGAGAGGCAUCAAGUGGAGAUCUGGCAGGAGAAGAAGGAGAAAAUAUCGAAGAAGAUGACCAAAGACAAUCCCGUUGAGUACUCCUUUAAGAACAAGGAUACUGCGAAGACACAGAGCCCUUCCUCUAGCACCAAUUCUAUUGGUGUAGAAUUUCACCGA